rnacentral:rRNA from 1 species
GAUGAACGCUGGCGGCGUGCCUAAUACAUGCAAGUCGAGCGAACAGAUAAGGAGCUUGCUCCUUUGACGUUAGCGGCGGACGGGUGAGUUACACGUGGAUAGCCUACCUAUAAGACUGGGAUAACUUCGGGAAACCGGAGCUAAUACCGGAUAACAUAUUGAACCGCAUGGUUCAAUAGUGAAAGGCGGCUUUGCUGUCACUUAUAGAUGGAUCCGCGCCGUAUUAGCUAGUUGGUAAGGUAACGGCUUACCAAGGCAACGAUACGUAGCCGACCUGAGAGGGUGAUCGGCCACACUGGAACUGAGACACGGUCCAGACUCCUACGGGAGGCAGCAGUAGGGAAUCUUCCGCAAUGGGCGAAAGCCUGACGGAGCAACGCCGCGUGAGUGAUGAAGGUCUUCGGAUCGUAAAACUCUGUUAUCAGGGAAGAACAAAUGUGUAAGUAACUGUGCACAUCUUGACGGUACCUGAUCAGAAAGCCACGGCUAACUACGUG